rnacentral:rRNA from 1 species
UGGGGAAUUUUGGACAAUGGGCGAAAGCCUGAUCCAGCCAUGCCGCGUGAGUGAAGAAGGCCUUCGGGUUGUAAAGCUCUUUUAGUCGGAAAGAAAGAGUUGCAAUGAAUAAUUGUGAUUUAUGACGGUACCGACAGAAAAAGCACCGGCUAACUACGUGCCAGCAGCCGCGGUAAUACGUCGGGUGCGAGCGUUAAUCGGAAUUACUGGGCGUAAAGGGUGCGCAGGCGGUCUUGCAAGUCAGAUGUGAAAGCCCCGGGCUUAACCUGGGAAUUGCGUUUGAAACUACAAGGCUAGAGUGCAGCAGAGGGGAGUGGAAUUCCAUGUGUAGCAGUGAAAUUCGUAGAGAUGUGGAAGAACACCGAUGGCGAAGGCAGCUCCCUGGGUUGACACUGACGCUCAUGCACGAAAGCGUGGGGAGCAAACA